UUAUUUGAAUCCAUUUACAAAUUUGUUUCAAUGUUGACUCUUUGACACAUUCCCCAUUUCUAUUCACAAUUUUGUAUUAACUUUGUAAAAUUAUAAUAAAGCAAAAAUUACAAAAUAAUCACUGUUCACACUGCUUCAUUAAAAGGCUUUCAGUUUGAAAACAUUACAAAAGUCUUACAAUCAUUCAUACAAAAAUAUUACUUAACUAUUGCCUAUUAAUUUUUAAGAAACAAACCUCACCAAAGAUACUGAACUUGAACCAUUAAAAUGAGUCACCUGUGAGAAGACGCUUGUACAAAGGUACCAGGAUUAUAUUUUUUUAAAAUACAUCUUAGAAUCUUCCAAUUUGAAAGAUACAGAUGACAUAUUGCUAUCUGAGAAACCAAACAAAAAUAUUCAUAUAUGGACAUAUGGGCCAUGAAAAUGAGGCCAAGGUCUGGAAUCCAGACCUGAUUCCAAAACACUUUGGGCCAUAACAUUCAAAGAAAUUCCCAACCUUUCCUUUGUCAUAUGGAAACUUGUUGUACAAUUAGGUACAGAUCCAAACAUUUAUUAAUCAGUUAUUGUCUAAGAAAAAGAAAAAUGCUUGUUGUUGGUCCCUUUUUCUUAAAUAGUUACGGCCAUAACCAGAUAACUCCCAUUCAGAAACUUUCUUUUGUGGUAUGAAACCGUGUGGUAAAAUUGAAUAUGAAUAGUAACUUGCAAUUUACUGAUUUUUGCAAAUGUUCUAUUUUUAUGUCAAUGUUGGUUAAAAAAAAUUGAAAUAUCUUGAUCAUCUGAUGGUG
rnacentral:lncRNA from 1 species